rnacentral:misc_RNA from 1 species
UCACCUCCUUUUGAGCAUGAGAGCCCCAUCUGUCAGGCGUCCUCACAAGUAACCUGCAUUCACAGAGUUCCGCCACAGGGCGCAGCACCCCGAAAUACCGGGGCGAUAGCUCAGCUGGGAGAGCACCUGCUUUGCAAGCAGGGCGUCGUCGGUUCGAUCCCGACUGGCUCCACCACUGACGAAAGACUUUGGGUCUGUAGCUCAGGUGCUUAGAGCGCACCCCUGAUAAGGCUGAGGUCGGUGGUUCGAGUCCUCCCAGACCCUCGACUCUGAAUGUAUCGCACACUAAGAAUAUAUAUGCUCGGCAUUGAGCCCGUAGCGUGUUCUUUAAUAAUUUGUGAUGUAGCGAGCGUUUGAGAACAAACUUCUCACGUGUCGUUGUGGCUAAGGCCGGCACCUCGAGUCCCUAGAAAUUGAGUCGUUAUAGUACGCGUCCAGCUUUGUACCCGUGACUGAAUAUGACCUUGAGGCAACUUGAGCUUAUA